rnacentral:tRNA from 1 species
CCUCUCAUGGCGUAGUGGUAACGCGCCCCAACAAGAGAUCGGGGAGUCGUGAGUUCGAUUCUCACUGAGAAGA